rnacentral:rRNA from 1 species
UCAGCUCGUGUCGUGAGAUGUUGGGUUAAGUCCCGUAACGAGCGCAACCCUUGUCCUUAGUUACCAGCACGUAAUGGUGGGCACUCUAAGGAGACUGCCGGUGACAAACCGGAGGAAGGUGGGGAUGACGUCAAGUCCUCAUGGCCCUUAUGACCAGGGCUUCACACGUCAUACAAUGGUCGGUACAGAGGGUAGCCAAGCCGCGAGGUGGAGCCAAUCUCACAAAACCGAUCGUAGUCCGGAUCGCAGUCUGCAACUCGACUGCGUGAAGUCGGAAUCGCUAGUAAUCGCGGAUCAGCACGCCGCGGUGAAUACGUUCCCGGGUCUUGUACACACCGCCCGUCACACCAUGGGAGUGGGU